CGUACGGCUGCUGGCCGUAGGGCUGCUGGCCGUACGGCUGCUGCCCGUACGGCUGCUGGCCGUACGGGUCCUGGUUCUGGCCGUACGGC
rnacentral:tRNA from 1 species